AUUGAACGCUGGCGGAAUGCUUUACACAUGCAAGUCGAACGGCAGCACGGACUUCGGUCUGGUGGCGAGUGGCGAACGGGUGAGUAAUGUAUCGGAACGUGCCCAGUCGUGGGGGAUAACGUAGUGAAAAUUACGCUAAUACCGCAUACGAUCUAUGGAUGAAAGCGGGGGAUCGCAAGACCUCGCGCGAUUGGAGCGGCCGAUAUCAGAUUAGGUAGUUGGUGGGGUAAGGGCCCACCAAGCCAACGAUCUGUAGCUGGUCUGAGAGGACGACCAGCCACCCUGGAACUGAGACACGGUCCAGACUCCUACGGGAGGCAGCAGUGGGGAAUUUUGGACAAUGGGCGAAAGCCUGAUCCAGCCAUUCCGCGUGCAGGAUGAAGGCCCUCGGGUUGUAAACUGCUUUUGUACAGAACGAAAAGGUUUCUACUAAUACUGGGAGCUCAUGACGGUACUGUAAGAAUAAGCACCGGCUAACUACGUGCCAGCAGCCGCCGUAA
rnacentral:rRNA from 1 species